CUUACACGUGAGGCUGCAAUAUUCUCUCGCAGGAAAAGCCUUGCAGGUGCUGGAACUAAAAUGGACGGUGGUAUCAGACGAAGUACAAGGAUCAAGUCAAGACCACUCGAAUUCUGGAGAGGUGAAAGAUUCUUGUACGGACGGAUCCAUGAGAGUAUGACUACUGUUAUCGGCAUAAAGUAUGGAUCCCCGGGAGAUGGUAAAAGUGACAAGCGUGCAUCUAAGGUGAAAUCAUAUGUAUCUGAUGAUUACAAAGACCUGGUUGAUUUUGCUGCCCUGCAUUGAAGUAUCAUCAUAAUCUUAGGAAGGAAAUGGUCAACCAUCCUCUUGUGAUCAUAAUAACUAUGGCGUCUUGUGUCUUACAACGAACGUCACUAAACUUGUCACUGUCUUCCUUUAAAACCGCAACAGCAUAAGACUUUCGCAAAUGUAACGAAAGUUUUCAACUUUCAAUUAGUCUCUUCCAUGAUACUUGUCAACUUGCAUUUGUCACAUUAGUCUUUGCCUCUUUGAUAUUUCUUUAGGUCACUUUUUGUAACCACCUUUCUCUCUUAAAUGCUGCCUUGACUAUUAA